GAUAUGACAUGGAAAGGGAACAGUAAGCGUGAUUGCACGUCACAGAGAGAGGGCCGCAGGUGAGAGGUCCUUACGGUUGGCAGAUGCUGAACCCACCCUGGAGUCCUGUAUGAUGAAUGCAGCGUAUGUCCGGCGUUAACGGAUGAUGAGAGAACCAUAAGGGCGGAUUAAGCCCGAAGGUUAAUAAGGGUGGUACCGCCGAGUCAUUCGGUCCCUUGU
rnacentral:ncRNA from 1 species